rnacentral:misc_RNA from 1 species
UCGCGGUUUGCACCGGCAGUCCCGUUAGAGUUCCCGACUUCACUCGCUGGCAACUAACGGCAGGGGUUGCGCUCGUUAUAGGACUUAACCUGACACCUCACGGCACGAGCUGACGACAACCAUGCAGCACCUCGCAGAUUGCCCGAAGGAGGACCGGUUUCCCGGCCUGUCAAAAUGCGUUCAAGCCCUGGUAAGGUUCCUCGCGUAUCAUCGAAUUAAACCACAUGCUCCACCGCUUGUGCGGGCCCCCGUCAAUUCCUUUGAGUUUCAUUCUUGCGAACGUACUCCCCAGGUGGGAUACUUAUCACUUUCGCUUGGCCACCCAGCACACCAAUGUGCACCGGACAGCUAGUAUCCAUCGUUUACGGCGUGGACUAC